rnacentral:rRNA from 1 species
UACGGAAGGCAGCAGUGGGGAAUAUUGCACAAUGGGCGCAAGCCUGAUGCAGCCAUGCCGCGUGUAUGAAAAAGGCCUUCGGGUUGUAAAGUACUUUCAGUCGUGAGGAAGGUGUUAAGGUUAAUAACCUUAGCAAUUGACGUUAGCGACAGAAGAAGCACCGGCUAACUCCGUGCCAGCAGCCGCGGUAAUACGGAGGGUGCGAGCGUUAAUCGGAAUUACUGGGCGUAAAGGGCACGCAGGCGGUUAAUUAAGUUGGAUGUGAAAUCCCCGGGCUUAACCUGGGAAUGGCAUUCAAGACUGGUUAGCUAGAGUCUUGUAGAGGGGGUAGAAUUCCAUGUGUAGCGGUGAAAUGCGUAGAGAUGUGGAGGAAUACCGGUGGCGAAGGCGGCCCCUGGGACAAAGGCUGACGCUCAUGUGCGAAAGCGUGGGGAGCAAACGAGGGAUUAGA